GUGGGAGCGAGCCUGCUCGCGAAAGCAUUGUGCCUGUCGAUGCAUCUCUCACUGACCCUCCGCAUUCGCGAGCAGGCUCGCUCCCAC
rnacentral:misc_RNA from 1 species